rnacentral:lncRNA from 1 species
GUCACAAUGGAUGGCUAGAACUCCAUCCCACCAAAACAGACUGAACUUUCAGAAUUUGUAGGAGAAAAUGAAAAAAAGAAAGAGAGAUGUCAGAGAGAGGGGAGAGGUAGAGUUGAGGGAGAGCAAGCGAGGCAGAGACGAGCAGGCGACAUAGCUGGGAGGGAAAGAGGAGAGAUCGAGAUUCAGAGGCAGAGAGUAAAAGAUUGUCAAAAGUGUGUGCGGGAGAGAGAAAAAGAAAGAGAGACACAGCGGGAGUGUCUCUCUGAAGUGGGAUGGGUAAAGGUGAGGUAUCGUGUGAGUGUUUGUUUAGUGGACCUGCCGAAUCCUGUGCUCUAAUUGGUUAAUGGCGUUUUAGUGACAGCCUGUUCCCUCCCUCCCACUGCCUGGUGAGUGUGUAUGUAUGUGUGAGAGCAGACAGAGAGGCUGAGAAGCACAGAGGCAGUCUCUAACUAUAGCCCAAUGAGCUCUCAGCCCCUCACACACACACAGUCUCUCAGCGCUGGCUCAGGCUCCGCUUCAACACUGGGACACAGAGAGAGGCAGCAAGAGGCGGAGAAGGAGAGUAAGAGAGAGAGAGUGAGAAAGAGGAAGAGCGGGAGAUCGGUAGUGUGUAUGUGUGUGUGAGAGAGAGAGCACCAUGGCUUUAGACCCAGGGCUCAUUGCACUGCUUCUAUGGACUAUACCACUACAAGUACUGGGCAACGCCGGAAACAACAAUAACAAUGAAGGUAAAGCUGGUGUCUGUGUGUGUCUGUGUGUGUGUCUGUGUGUGCGUGUGUGCCUGUGCUUGUGUACGAAAGUGAGAGAAGGGCAGCAGGGGAAUCACGUGCAUACACACUGGCACUCACACACACGUUCAUUCGUGUGGACAGGCGUGAAUUAUUUGUGUCUCAUGCCUUCAGCCAGGAUUAACUUAUCACAUGUGGAGCUCAGCUGAAGUAUGAAAGCAAGACUAGCUGAAACACACACCCACACACACACACACAAACACACAAACAUGCCGUCAAGCCCAAUCUGAACUUCCUAUCUGUUAGAAAGUUCAUCCUGGCAAAGUGAUGAAAGUUUCCCCUGAAGGCAAUGCCUUAUGGGGAUGCUUGGUGUGUGUGUGCUGUUGAGUCUAUGUGUGUGUUUGUGCACAUGCAGAGAUUGCUCAUAUUGCUUGGUUAUGCAUGAGCUGGUGUAUGAGUGUGUAUCUGCAUGAGAGAGAUUGGAUACGUGCGUCGCAUGCCAUCUAAGUACAAUAUUUCCUCAACAAAACGUUUUCUUGGAAAAAGCAUGUAAACCAAUCAGCAAUGGGCAGUAGGCCAGGGAUAGAAGAUUACAGAGACAUUGAUUGUUGUGUUCAGUGACUAAAUGACACAGGGACAACAUGCA